ACACGACUACAUUAGAUACCCGUGUAGUCCCAGCCGUAAACGAUGCGCGUUAGGUGUAUCGGUGACCACGAGUCACCGAGGUGCCGAAGGGAAACCGUGAAACGUGCCGCCUGGGAAGUACGGCCGCAAGGCUGAAACUUAAAGGAAUUGGCGGGAGAGCACCACAACGGGUGGAGCCUGCGGUUUAAUUGGACUCAACGCCGGGAAGCUCACCGGAUAAGACAGCGGAAUGAUUGCCGGGCUGAAGACCCUGCAUGACCAGCUG
rnacentral:rRNA from 1 species